AUCUGGAUGAGUUUGUAGAGUGCCAUCUAUUUGGCAGUGACCUGUCUCCACCCCUGAUCCACUCGUGCAUCCACGAGACUUCUGACAACUGGACCUCCUUCAACAGGUGAAAACGCAUCCCAACAACAGCAUUGGGUGUGUAUGUGUUUACAACUAUUCGUUGAUAUUAAACCUCUCUCCCCUGUGCAGUGAACCGGUGUGUGGCGUGGUAGAGGAGGAGGAGCCUGCCCUUAUAGCCGGCCCCCCGGCCUUCACCACCCAGAAGUCUGUAGCCUCGUCAGAACCCACCGGCACCGACUCCCACUCUGUGGUGAGCCUGAACGACAGUGAGGAACUCUCUAGUGCUGCGUCGGAGGAUGAAGAGGAGUCAUCGUCAGACGCCCCUGCUGAGGACUCUGGCAGUGAGGUGGAGAUCAUCGAGGAGGUGCAGGGGAACGGAAGGCAGCGAGCCCCCCUGCCCCUACAGCCACACUCCCAGUUCCUGUCUGACCUAUCGGAGCAGGACGCAGCAGUGCUCUCAUUGGUCACCCCAGAGGCAGACCUCAAGAUGGUGGAGGACGACAUGGACGGGGAGGUGGUGAUGAUCAGGCUGGGGGCAGCAGGAGACGAGGGGGUCUGCUACACGGAGCUGAAGCCCUCCACCACCCUGCUGGUUCCUCUGGAGCUGCUGGAGGCGCAGGGGCAGGCCCUGGCAGACGGAGUCCGUCUGGGGCUAACCGAGGUGGGGGAAGGCAGUGAGCCGGAGGUACCCCUCUCUGAAGCCCACAGCAGCUUCUCUCUUAUGCUGGAGGCUGAGGAUGGGAAUGCAGACACUGUACCACUAGAGGUACCACUAGAACCCACUGAGAAUCUGACCGCAGAGGGAGGGUCUGACAAGCCUGCUGCUGACCCGGAGGUCAUCUGCCUGGGCACAGACAACCAGGACAUCCCCCUUGCUGAGGUUGAUCCCCAGGAGGAACAGGGGGCUGAGAUGGACACCCUGGAGGGGAUGGACACCUUGGAGGCAAACUUUAAUAGCUGGGCAGAGACUGAUGGACCUGAGGCUUUGUCGGAGGAGAAUGUUCCUCAAGUCACAGACGUCCUACCUGAAUCCUCUGAGGCGGUGGCUGAAGAUGAACUGACCGGCACUGAACCAACCAGAUCAGCUGAAGAUGGAGAUGUAGACGAUGUAGAAGAGCCUUCACCAGUCCUGGUUGAGAACGAGCAGCCCGGCAGAGCGAGGAAGGGAACAGAUGAGGUGACCAUGGAAGAGGAGACUGUCCCGUGUGCUCAGAGUCAAGAGGAGGAGAUGAAGGCUGAUGUCGUUGAGCUGGACGCUGAGAAAGAGAUGGAGGAGCCUGUUGCUGUCCCUGCAGACCAGCCUCUGCCUCAGGUAGAACGCAACGGACCCAUCCAGUCAGACAACCAUGAACCUGCCCAGGGAGAAGCCAUAAACGAUGUGGCUACCCCUCAAACCGCAAAUCCCAUCAAGCCUCACAACAUCCAGUCUGAGUCUGUGUCUGAAACCUUGGAGGUCAGGAAAGCCCCGUCCACCCCGACGCGCAGGGCCACCAUGCAGACGAAGACGGUGAAGUUCACCUCAGUGGAGCCGGAAAGACCUGGGUCAGAGGGUGACGAGAGGCCGGCGGGACAGACUGAGAUGGAGACGGACUCUCAGGUCCCGGCCACACCCAGACGGAUCACCAGGAGUGGCCGUCACGGCCAGGACUCCAGAGUUCCCGUCACCCCUCGACGGAGCACCCGGAAAACCGAACGGCAGCCAGAACCCGAGCCUCGGAGAGAGGAGGAGAGGAAAGGAGAGGAAGAGGUCUCGGUCCUCAUCACAGAGGCUGCUGUGGUCAUCUCCAAGCCCACCCCGGCCAAACGGCGCACCCAACAGAAGGCCACUCCGAGGAUGGGAACGCGGCGAACCAGGAACACCCAGGUAGAGGGCGAAGAGGAACCAACAGCCAUGGAUGAAACAGCCAGCAAGGGGUCAGCGCUGUCGGUUACACGCAGUGCUAGGAAGAGCCGAACUGGAACCAAGACCCCAGCCACCCAGACUCAGCCAGCGGUCCCUGAGGAAGAGAAGCCAAACGAUGAAGAGGACAAAAAGCAGACCAGCAGUCCAGGCAGGGUGACCCGCAAGUCGACCCGAAGGGGUGUGACCCUCGCCCUCUUCACCAAGGAAGAGGAAGUGUUCACCGUGGACCCUCCCCGCAGCCUUAGGAAGACGAGGGGCGAAGGCACCGCUGAGAAGACAAAAGAUGCCCCUGUGUCGUUCUGUCGACCAACCAGGAGCCGCCUGUGGAACCACCAGGAGGAGGACCUGCCCCUGUUGGAGACGCCUCUGGAGGUGGACUCCGGAACGCCUGUGGCCGACGCCCUCAUCAAGAGACUCCACGACGAGGAGGCCAAACGGGAAGUGAGUGAGACCUUGGUCGUCACGGAGAUGGUGCGAGCCAAUAGAAGAGGUAUCAAGUCGCAGGGUCAGCGGGCGCCCUCUCCACCCCCAAUUGUGGAGAUGAUGGUGUCCGAGGCCGACCAGGGAAUCCCUGUCAGGGAUUCAUUCAUCUACUCACCACCUCGGAGAAGAACUAGAGGUAGGAUAGCAGAGUCGCCCGGUCAGAAUGACGUGUCUGCGCCACCCGUUACUCGUACCAGGCGACCGAACGCCAGCGCAGCACGCCCUGCUAACGAGGACAAGAAGUCGUCAGGAGAGGAUGUGGAGAUCGAGAUGGUGGCUGCUAAAACCAGAACAACCAAGAGACGAACAACCAAGCCCAAUGCAGCCCCGGCGUCCCCUACCCCAGCCAAGGUGGAUCUGAUCUCUCCCAUGCCCAGCCCGGCCGAGCGUGCCACGAGUAGGAGGGUGGUGGAGGAGAACGAAGCCCCCCGGAUGAACCUCCGACGUAAACGAGUGCUGGAGGCCAUCUUCCCCAAACCAGUCACCCGCCGGAAGAAGCUAUGAUCGGAUGCCAUUUUCACCCUGAACAAAACUACAGCAUCAACUUGGGAGUUUUCCAGACUCGGUCAGAACUCAUAGGGUGCGUCUUCAUCUCCUUUCCUUCAUCUGAACUGCUCUGAAAAAUAGGAUUGGGGGGGUAUGGUGCCUACUGGGUAUUUCCAAUACAUGUCAAUGCAGAUGAAGGAAAGGAGACGGAGAGGAAUCCACUUUAGACUAUAGAGAUGCACCCGUGGACUGGACUCGUAUCUUUCCUUGAAGCUUUUACCUCUACUCCUAGGAAGUGAUUUUAUUCUCCUCCUUUCUUUUAAGAACUUUUGCAGCCUGCUGUUUUAUAUUUAAGAAGACAAACAAACCAGUGGAGAAAAUUUUUUAAAAAUGAAUAAUCAGAUUUAAUUUGGGAGAUUGAUAUAAUAAUUUUAUAUAAAUUAUUGUAAUGUUUACAGGGAGGAAGACCGGUAUUUGAACAAAAAAAAAAAGAGUCUGAUUGGUUUUUAUUUCUUGAGAAUUCGUACAUUUAUAUGAUUUGAUGGCUAUGUUAAUGGUCUCUUUUGCUAUGUUAUGAAUAAAGUUGAAUACUUGUGAAUGAUCUGUUGAUUUUAUUUGUAGUGCAGAGCCGGCCCUAGCCACUAAGAGACCGCUUAGGGCCCCGCGGCCGCUAGGGGGCCCCGACCCCAAUUUUAUUGAUAGGGGUCUCAACUUAGUGGGGGGUCUCAACUUACUGUUAAGAGUUACAAUAGAACAAUACACAAGGUGUAAUUUCGAAAUGUGGUUGUCCAACAUUUUUUCUCUGUCACUCAACUAGCCCAUUUCACACCUACAUUUGUUUAGAUUGUUAAAUUAGUCCAGCUAUCUAAACUUGUAGUAAUCAUGGUUGAAUUACUGAUCGGACACACAGGGAACGUGCCCAGGGGCUGUGACCUCCAGGGGCCCCCCCAUGGAUUUCGUUAGUCACUUUCAUUCAGACAUCAUAUUAAUAUGGCAUAAGAGCGUUUGUUAAAUAACUGACUAAAAUGUUAAUGUAAAUCAUACAGGGCAAAAUGUGUACAAUUGCAGGAAGUUAACCGGCUUGGGCCGGUUCUGUUGUAGCUUUUCAAUAAUGUUUGUCUCAUAAUCAUAUUGCCGAUGUCAGCCUUAAAAGACAAUUUUGUAGAAUUAAUUAGCUGUUUUUUUUGUUUUUUUUAAAGAUCAAUUCACACUAAUUUGUGUUUGGUGUUAUUUUCCUAUAAUGUACUGUAUCACUAACAUGUACAUAACCUACACAGUGAUCCACUGGGAGUGAUCAGGCUUGUUGGCUUUGAAGGUCAUUUGACCAGCCGAAUGCUAUUUUCAGAUGAAUGUAGAAUGUUUUAUUUUCAGUGACUUUGACAAUAUGAUAAAAGCAGAAGUAUGUCAUUAAAAGUGGGCUGAACUUACUGAUUUUUCGCCUCUGUUUCAAUCGUCCUCAUUAGGAAAUGCAACUGAGAACGAGAUUUGGGUCUUUGAGGUAUGCUUUGAUGUGGGUGUCUCUUGAGUGUGUUCACAUGUGGGAAGCGUUUGUGCGUGCACUCUGGGGGGGGAAAAAACAGUACACAUUAAACUUGAAACCGUGUAACCUGGUAUUUAAAAAAAUAAAAAAAAAUAGUUUAGAAUUGAUUUUGCCAAUUAGCUUCAGCAGGCCGGUGUACAACCAUGGUUUGACUUUGGAUAGCCUAUCUGGGGCUAGUUGGGGACGUCAAUAUAUUAAACAAUGUAAAUGGGACUAUUUUCAUGUUGUACACUUUGUUUUCUCAAAUGCUUUCAAUAUUUAUAAUUGAAUUAUUACAAUUUAGAGUUGAUUUUAGGUUAUUUCAUUGAAAUUUGGAUCUAUGGAAAUGUUUAAAUAGUGUCCCAUGUACACUAAUUUACUGCUGGUCCCUAACUAGCGCCAUGGGGUCAGUGUGCUGAGCAUUACAAUCGUGUUGCAUGCAGCUGAGUUCUGAAUUGAUGAUUACUUUGGUGCUGUGGCUAUGUGGGCAGGAUUUAAAUAAACC
ensembl:lncRNA